rnacentral:rRNA from 1 species
UCAAUAUUAUACACCGUAUUAAGCGCUUAGUUGCGAUUAUUGGCUCAUUAUUGGGUCUUUUAAUUGUAUUUCUAAUGCGCGCGGUAAAGCCUGCUUCGAGAGUAAGUGGGUAAUCCAUUGGAAGUAAUGAUUUCUCUUUUUAUAGCACACCUAUAUACGGCAUUCAUUCCCGGGACGACUAGUUUCGUCUUUUUUGUGCGAAUGUAAUGUAUUCUUUAUCCGUAUGUGCGAUUGUCA